AGAGUUUGAUCCUGGCUCAGGAUGAACGCUAGCGACAGGCCUAACACAUGCAAGUCGAGGGGCAGCAUUUUUGAAGCUUGCUUCAAAAGAUGGCGACCGGCGCACGGGUGAGUAACGCGUAUGGAACCAACCCGCAACAGGGGGAUAACCCGGAGAAAUCCGGACUAAUACCGCAUGGUACUCUUUGCACAGAAGUGUGAAGAUUUAAAGAUGCGAAUCGGUUGCGGACGGUCAUGCGUUCCAUUAGCUAGUUGGCGGGGUAACGGCCCACCAAGGCGACGAUGGAUAGGGGUUCUGAGAGGAAGGUCCCCCACACUGGUACUGAGACACGGACCAGACUCCUACGGGAGGCAGCAGUGAGGAAUAUUGGUCAAUGGGCGAGAGCCUGAACCAGCCAAGUCGCGUGAGGGAAGACGGCCCUAUGGGUUGUAAACCUCUUUUAGAUGGGAGUAAAGUGUUCUACGCGUAGGAUAUUGCAAGUACCAUCAGAAUAAGCAUCGGCUAAUUCCGUGCCAGCAGCCGCGGUAAUACGGAAGAUGCGAGCGUUAUCCGGAUUUAUUGGGUUUAAAGGGUGCGUAGGCGGGUGAUUAAGUCAGCGGUGAAAUGCGUCAGCUUAACUGGCGAACUGCCAUUGAAACUGGUUACCUUGAGUGUAGCGGAAGUAUGCGGAAUGCGUGGUGUAGCGGUGAAAUGCAUAGAUAUCACGCAGAACUCCGAUUGCGAAGGCAGCAUACCAUACUAUAACUGACGCUGAAGCACGAAAGCGUGGGUAUCGAACAGGAUUAGAUACCCUGGUAGUCCACGCAGUAAACGAUGAAUACUCACCGUUUGCGAUAUAAUGUAAGCGGUAAAGCGAAAGCGUUAAGUAUUCCACCUGGGGAGUACGCCGGCAACGGUGAAACUCAAAGGAAUUGACGGGGGCCCGCACAAGCGGAGGAACAUGUGGUUUAA
rnacentral:rRNA from 1 species